rnacentral:rRNA from 1 species
CCUACGGGAGGCAGCAGUGGGGAAUUUUGGACAAUGGGCGCAAGCCUGAUCCAGCUAUUCCGCGUGUGGGAAGACGGCCUUCGGGUUGUAAACCUCUGUCAGCAGGGAAGAACGGUCACUGUGCUAAUCAGCAGUGAAUUGACGGUACCUGCAAAGGAAGCACCGGCUAACUCCGUGCCAGCAGCCGCGGUAAUACGGAGGGUGCGAGCGUUAAUCGGAAUUACUGGGCGUAAAGCGCUCGUAGGCGGUAUGUCAAGUCAAGGGUGAAAUCCCCGCGCUCAACGUGGGAACUGCCUUUGAAACUGGCAAACUGGAGUGUGUGAGAGGAUAGUGGAAUUCCAGGUGGAGGAGUGAAAUCCGUAGAUAUCUGGAGGAACAUCAGUGGCGAAGGCGACUAUCUGGCACAUAACUGACGCUGAGGAGCGAAAGCGUGGGUAGCAAACAGGAUUAGAUACCCCAGUAGUC